CCUACGGGAGACAGCAGUGGGGAAUAUUGCGCAAUGGGCGAAAGCCUGACGCAGCGACGCCGCGUGAGGGAUGAAGGUCUUCGGAUCGUAAACCUCUGUCAGCAGGGAAGAACGGUCACUGUGCUAAUCAGCAGUGAAUUGACGGUACCUGCAAAGGAAGCACCGGCUAACUCCGUGCCAGCAGCCGCGGUAAUACGGCGGGGGCGAGCGUUAAUCGGAAUUUCUGGGCGUAAAGCGCUCGUAGGUGGUAUGUCAAGUCAAGUGUGAAAUCCCCGCGCUAAACGUGGGAACUGCCUUUGAAACUGGCAAACUGGAGUGUGUGAGAGGAUAGUGGAAUUCCAGGUGUAGGAGUGAAAUCCGUAGAUAUCUGGAGGAACAUCAGUGGCGAAGGCGACUAUCUGGCACAUAACUGACGCUGAGGAGCGAAAGCGUGGGUAGCAAACAGGAUUAGAUACCCCUGUAGUC
rnacentral:rRNA from 1 species